rnacentral:tRNA from 1 species
GGAGAGGUGGCUGAGUGGUUGAAGGCGCACGGCUGGAAUCCGUGUUUACGGGGUAACCCGUAACGGGGGUUCGAAUCCCCCCCUCUCCG